AUACUGUGGUUUCUCUUUCAGCUUGUAUAAAUCUUUUGCCUUUUACUAAAGAUUUCCGUGGAGAGGAACAGUUAUGAGUUUCUACCCAAUUUUUUGAGGCUUCACUUUGGUGAGGCU
rnacentral:snRNA from 1 species